rnacentral:rRNA from 1 species
AUUGAACGCUGGCGGCAGGCCAAACACAUGCAAGUCGAACGGUAACAGGAAGCAGCUUGCUGCUUCGCUGACGAGUGGCGGACGGGUGAGUCAUGUCUGGGAAACUGCCUGAUGGAGGGGGAUAACUACUGGAAACGGUAGCUAAUACCGCAUAACAUCGCAAGACCAAAGAGGGGGACCUUAGGGCCUCUUGCCAUCGGAUGUGCCCAGAUGGGAUUAGCUAGUAGGUGGGGUAACGGCUCACCUAGGCGACGAUCCCUAGCUGGUCUGAGAGGAUGACCAGCCACACUGGAACUGAGACACGGUCCAGACUCCUACGGGAGGCAGCAGUGGGGAAUAUUGCACAAUGGGCGCAAGCCUGAUGCAGCCAUGCCGCGUGUAUGAAGAAGGCCUUCGGGUUGUAAAGUACGUUCAGCGGGGAGGAAGGGAGUAAAGUUAAUACCUUUGCUCAUUGACGGUACCCGCAGAAGAAGCACCGGCUAACUCCGUG